rnacentral:rRNA from 1 species
GACGAACCGUGCGAACGUUGUUCGGAAUCACUGGGCUUAAAGGGCGCGUAGGCGGGCUCUCAAGUCAGGGGUGAAAGCCCGCGGCUCAACCGCGGAAGCGCCUUUGAUACUGGGGGCCUCGAGGGGGGUAGGGGCGUGCGGAACUUCCGGUGGAGCGGUGAAAUGCGUAGAUAUCGGAAGGAACACCGGUGGCGAAAGCGGCGCGCUGGACCGCUUCUGACGCUGAGGCGCGAAAGCCAGGGGAGCAAACGGG